AAUGCCAGAAGGAAGAAAAUGUGUUUCUUGCAUAGGUCAGAGGAUUGAUGAGGCAAAGCGAAAGAACUUGGGUAAAUGUUCUCGGAUGCUGAAGCAACUAUUGUGCGAAAUUGAAGUUAAACAGAUCAUGAAAUCUGAGAGACUAUGCCAGGCUAAUCAGCUGAACCCUGAGCUUGUUUACGUGAACAGCCAGGCUCUUUCUCAACAGGAGCUUUUCCUUUUGCAGACCUGCUCAAACCCACCAAGAGAACUAGAACAAGGACGCUACUGGUAUGAUAAAAUUUCAGGCUUAUGGGGAAAGGAAGGAAAGAAACCUUGCCAAAUAAUCAGUCCCCAAUUAGUUGUUGGGGGCUUUCUGCAGCAAAAUGCAAGCAAUGGAAACACAAAUGUGUUGAUAAAUAAUCGUGAGAUAACCAAAGUGGAGCUCCUGAUGCUGCAGUUAGCAGGAGUGAAAUGUGAAGGAGCAACUCACCUUUGGGUGAGUGCAGAUGGGUCCUAUCAGGAAGAGGGAUCGAAUAUCAUAAGAGGAAAUAUAUGGCUAAAGACAAGAGUAGCGAAGCUAGUUUGUCUCAUGUUGUCUUUGCCAACUGCUCCUCUUGACCGUGUUAGUGGGAAACAAGUGGGUGUGGAAGCUGAGCAUGGACUUUAUAGUCCUCUACUAGCUGGUAGUGGUUAAUCUGGGACUGAACAUGAUGCCCACUUAACAACAGUAAUUUUCAGUUUCACUUGUAUGUUCUGUCAAUUUGCAUGCCAAGUCAAAGAUUGUUCAUUUAAUUAGAGAAAUAAAUGAAGAAGAGACAAAAUUGAGACAAAAUUAGGGGGAAAAAAGGUAUACUUUACAGAAUUGAUGUAAUUUGUAUUACUUUUAUCGUUAUUGUUGUCAUCUUGAACAAAUUAU
rnacentral:misc_RNA from 1 species